rnacentral:rRNA from 1 species
GAUGAACGCUGGCGGCGUGCCUAACACAUGCAAGUCGAACGGAGUCCAGCCUUAGAGACCUUCGGGUCAAAGAGGGGAAGACUGAGUGGCGGACGGGUGAGUAACACGUGGGCAACCUGGCUCAUAGAGGGGGAUAACAGAGAGAAAUUUCUGCUAAUACCGCAUAAGCACACACUGCCGCAUGGCAGAGUGUGAAAAGAGAAUCGCUAUGAGAUGGACCCGCGUCUGAUUAGCCAGUUGGCAGGGUAAGAGCCUACCAAAGCGACGAUCAGUAGCCGAUUUGAGAGGAUGAACGGCCACAUUGGGACUGAGACACGGCCCGAACUCCUACGGGAGGCAGCAGUGGGGGAUAUUGCAAAAUGGGGGGAACCCUGAUGCAGCGACGCCGCGUGAGUGAAGAAGUAUUUCGGUAUGUAAAGCUCUAUCAGCAGGGAAGAUAAUGACAGUACCUGAAGAAGAAGCCCCGGCUAACUACGUG